rnacentral:rRNA from 1 species
GCCUACGGGGGGCAGCAGUGAGGAGUAUUGGUCAAUGGUCGGGAGACUGAACCAGCCAAGCCGCGUGAGGGAUGAAGGUACAGAGUAUCGUAAACCUCUUUUGUCAGGGAACAAAGGCGGGGACGUGUCCCCGGAUGAGUGUACCUGAAGAAAAAGCAUCGGUUAACUCCGUGCCAGCAGCCGCGGUAAUACGGAGGAUGCGAGCGUUAUCCGGAUUUAUUGGGUUUAAAGGGUGCGCAGGCGGUCUGUUAAGUCAGCGGUCAAAACCCGGGGCUCAACCCCGGCCCGCCGUUGAAACUGGCAGG